AGGAAGAGCUUGCUCUUCCAAAGUUAGUGGCGGACGGGUGAGUAACACGUGGGCAACCUGCCUGUAAGUUGGGGAUAACUCCGGGAAACCGGGGCUAAUACCGAAUGAUAAAGUGUGGCGCAUGCCAUGCUUUUGAAAGAUGGUUUCGGCUAUCGCUUACAGAUGGGCCCGCGGUGCAUUAGCUAGUUGGUAGGGUAAUGGCCUACCAAGGCAACGAUGCAUAGCCGACCUGAGAGGG
rnacentral:rRNA from 1 species